rnacentral:rRNA from 1 species
AUUGAACGCUGGCGGCAUGCCUUACACAUGCAAGUCGAACGGUAACAGGUCUUCGGAUGCUGACGAGUGGCGAACGGGUGAGUAAUAUAUCGGAACGUGCCCGAUCGUGGGGGAUAACGAAGCGAAAGCUUUGCUAAUACCGCAUACGACCCACGGAUGAAAGCAGGGGACCGCAAGGCCUUGCGCGAACGGAGCGGCUGAUGGCAGCUUAGGUAGUUGGUGGGAUAAAAGCUUACCAAGCCGACGAUCUGUAGCUGGUCUGAGAGGACGACCAGCCACACUGGGACUGAGACACGGCCCAGACUCCUACGGGAGGCAGCAGUGGGGAAUUUUGGACAAUGGGCGAAAGCCUGAUCCAGCCAAGCCGCGUGCAGGAUGAAGGCCUUCGGGUUGUAAACUGCUUUUGUACGGAACGAAAAGACUCUGGUUAAUACCUGGGGUCCAUGACGGUACCGUAAGAAUAAGCACCGGCUAACUACGUGCCAGCCGCCGCGGUAACAC